ACGGGUCUAGCUCAGUUGGCAGAGCACUGGUCUCCAAAACCAGGUGUCGGGAGUUCGAGUCUCUCGACCCGUG
rnacentral:tRNA from 1 species